UUAUGCAAAUCAGUCAGCUCUGCUGAAUAAGCAGUCAGUGUUCAAUGGUGGCUUUAGCUAAACCACUGCCCGGGAGGGGUCAGGCCCAGAACCCUUCUGUUUAUUUCUGCAUGCUUCCGGCUGCGUGCUUCCGGCUUCCUGUUCAUGUCUCCUUUCUCUGCAAUGAUGGUGGUCCCAAGGAUCUUUGUGGCAGCUUUCCUGGUUUACUCACUGCCUGCAGGCUUCCUGGAGCAUCCUGCUGAUGGAGACUUCUGCAGAGGGGCCUGAAGGGUCAAAGAGUAGCACCAGAAAUAGUUGUAGCCCAUCCUAGGAAGCUGUCCCACUCCAACUCCGUCAGUCACUCUUCCCCAGUGACUUUUGUCCUUUGUCCUGUUGCAGUUUGUUCUGGAAUGUCCCCAAGAGGCCCACAUGAGGAGGAGUUGGUCUUCAGCUCGGUGCUACUGGGAGGCAAUGGAGCUUCCAGAAGGAUCUCUCGCCAAUCUGGAGCGCCCUGAUGCUAUCAGGCUGCCUGGUCAGCAAACCCCAGAGAUCCUUCUAUCUCUGCUCCGCAUCCCUGGGAUUACAAGUGGCACCUUUAUAUCUGGGUUCAGUGGGGGUGAGCUCAGGCCCUCAGCGUGGCCAGCAGGCAUUGCUGGAACAGAGGGACUGGGUCAUCUUCUCAGGAAGAUUUCUGGAAGAUUCUGCAACCUCAUCUCCUCUGUGAUUCUGCUGACUUCCUACCGUGUGGCCUGAGACCGUGGGACUCCGGUCAGCCCUCCUGGGGUCCCAGUGGCCGGACACAAACACUAUGGCUGGCAAGGGACCAAAGGCAUUUGAGAGGCUCUCCUUGCUGUCUUCUCAGGGUUAUUAUGCCAGCAUUUGAGUGACCCAAAUACAUAUUUGCUUCCUCUUCGGUCCUUCUGCAGUGUAUUCUUCUAUGUGUGUGCAUCUCCUCUUACCAUGGGUGACAGCAGGAUCCUGCUUAGGAAUUUUUAGAAGGAAUGUGACUGAUGCAUUUUUCCUUUUCCAGAAUCUUUCUUCCUUUCUGUUCUUUUUCUAUCUCUACUUCAAUUUCUUUUUUAGACACGGCCACUCUCUA